UACGUAGGGUGCGAGCGUUGUCCGGAAUUACUGGGCGUAAAGAGCUCGUAGGUGGUUUGUCGCGUUGUCCGUGAAAACUCACAACUCAAUUGUGGGCGUGCGGGCGAUACGGGCAGACUGGAGUACUGCAGGGGGAGACUGGAAUUCCUGGUGUAGCGGUGGAAUGCGCAGAUAUCAGGAGGAACACCGGUGGCGAAGGCGGGUCUCUGGGACGGUACUGACGCUGAGACGCGAAAGCGUGGGGAGCGAACAGG
rnacentral:rRNA from 1 species